UUGUCACAUGCGCGGAAUACAACAGGUGAAGCAGACCUUAGUGAAAUGCUUACUUACAAUAGGCUCUAACCAAUAGUGCAAAAAAGGUAUUAGGUGAACAAUAGGGCUACAACUAGGAAGAAGGUGAUGAAGACAGGUGUGGGAGAGGUGCUGCCCUUCAUCAAGUGGAUUGUGUACAGGAAAAUCAGGUGACCCGGUACGACCAACAGGAGCAGCACCUGUGCAGAGCGAUGAUUGGCUCCUGUCAGAGAUAAACCCUACUACAUACAAUGCCAACCAAGUCUCCAUUCAAGACAAGCAUCUCAUGUCUACAACUGUCAAUCAUUCCCUGCCAUGUAUCAUCUCCAUUAUCGGAAUCUAGAAAGACUUUUAAACUGAACUGCAUCUCUGCCUCCAGCUGCUCAGUAGAUGGGCAUCUCCAUAACCGUCACCUAAACCUCAGUGUUUCCCUUGGGGACCCUUAUUAUUGGAGGACAUGUAGGAAAUGUAUAAAAGCACCCCUUGGUCAUGUUCAGGUGAGAGCUUUUUACUGUGAAUGUCCUUUGUGUGUACAGGUUGUAUGGUGUUACUGGUGGUUUAUUUCUGCGAGGAACCAUUUUGUGACUAUGUUGUCUUGAAGAAAUGUUUGGGGUGUAGUCGAUUGUUCUGAAUGGUAUAUGUUGACUUUGACCAUCAGUGAGUUUUUCCCCUGAGUGACAAUAUUUCUGAUUUUCAUUAUGUAAGGCCACUGCAAUCAUGGCCUUCUAUUUGAAGUCACUUUGUUUGGAGAGGCAUUGCUGGUUUGAGGUACAGGCUGUGCGUUGCUGGUUUGAGGUACAGGCUGUGCCCUCCAAAAAGGGCUCUGUCUAAGUCAAGUCAUUUCUACAAUAUCUAUUGUUUAUGUCAAUUCUGUGGUUAACUGUUCUUUCUUUUGUACCAUCAGAAGUACAGUACUGUUUGUCACUGUUUUUGGUAAUAUUCUGAACUUGGUCAAUUUAAUUUCUGUGAAAGCACUCUUGUAUUUCAGAAAGCGGUCUAGUGGAAGUAACAGAUCUAUGAAGUCAUUUUGGUGUACUCUUGUUAAUGUGUUAUUUAUCUGUGUCAAACAAGCAAAACUAAUCCUCAGCUUUACUAAAAUUGGCUUGUUCUUUAUCUGCCUCUGUAGUGUUUUCCUUUAAUGGGUCUAGAACCUGUGUCUAAUGUUUUAAGAUGUUACAAUUUGUCAGAACUUUUGCCCCAACUCAAUAGGUGGCCUGUCAUGAACCUGUGUGUCUUAUGUUCUGGUUUAGUUGUUCCCCUAAUUAAACAGUAACUGGGGUAGUCUUGAAGUUGUGCCAGUUUAGCUAACCCUAGUCGGCAGGUGUUACCACAAUAUGCUACAGUCAUGUCUGCAAAAACACUACAGUGAAUGCUAUAGUAUACCACACUCAUGUUUGCAAAAAACCACAACAGUGAAUACUAUAGUAUAUAAAUAUAAUACUACUGUAUUUAGACCAUAGUAUACUAUAGUAUUUUUUAAUGUGGGUUAGCUGUAAAUGUGUAAUAUGUUGGAUGUUUGAACUAGGACCCCUUUUUUUGUAUUAUUCAUCAAAUUUCUAAAUGCAUUGUAUCCACAUUUGUGCUUAUGUGUUUUUAAAUAGUC